rnacentral:tRNA from 1 species
GUCUCAGUGGUCGAGUUGGUUAAGAUACUCGCCCCCGGAAAAUUGGGAGGUCCCAGGUUCGAAUCUUGGCUGAGGUA